AUGUGGGGGGGGGAAGCGCCCCUAGCACAUCCCAGACAAUUGAUAGCCGUGUGUGGCGCCCCCCUCCACCGUUUACUCCCCGGUCAUAUCUUCGUAGUGCUUAGGCGAAGCUCUGCGAGGAUCACUUUGUCGGCGUCCUGGGAAUGGGGGUACCCAUACUUGCCUGCCUAUGGCCCAGGGCGUGGCUCCACCAGCGGACUGGUACGGCCCAUCUUCAUCAACCAACACUCAAGACCCUCGCGACACAAGACCUCCUCAGGGGCAGCCUCAAUAGGCUGGCUCGCAAGGAGCGGAGAGAUCAAGGCAAGGGGCAUCUCGUGA
rnacentral:rRNA from 1 species